UAACAGUGAGAAAUCAUUGCUAAUACCGCAUAUGCCAUGAACAUCACAUGAUGAAAGUGGGAAAAGAGUAAUCUGCUAGUAGAUGGGCUCGCGUCUGAUUAGAUAGUUGGUGGGGUAACGGCCUACCAAGUCGACGAUCAGUAGCCGGACUGAGAGGUUGAACGGCCACAUUGGGACUGAGAUACGGCCCAGACUCCUACGGGAGGCAGCAGUCGGGAAUAUUGCGCAAUGGAGGAAACUCUGACGCAGUGACGCCGCGUAUAGGAAGAAGGCUUUCGGAUUGUAAACUAUUGUCGUUAGGGAAGAUACAAGACAGUACCUAAGGAGGAAGCUCCGGCUAACUACGUGCCAGCAGCCGCGGUAAUACGUAGGGAGCAAGCGUUAUCCGGAUUUAUUGGGUGUAAAGGGUGCGUAGACGGGAAAGCAAGUUAGUUGUGAAAUCCCUCGGCUUAACUGAGGAACUGCAACUAAAACUGUUUUUCUUGAGUGUUGGAGAGGAAAGUGGAAUUCCUAGUGUAGCGGUGAAAUGCGUAGAUAUUAGGAGGAACACCGGUGGCGAAGGCGACUUUCUGGACAAUAACUGACGUUGAGGCACGAAAGUGUGGGGAGCAAACAGGAUUAGAUACCCUGGUAGUCCACACCGU
rnacentral:rRNA from 1 species